ensembl:lncRNA PCAT1 prostate cancer associated transcript 1
GAGUCUCCACAAUAGUGAGGGCUGCAAAACCAGGUGACAUGAAAACCAAGAGAAUGAAUUACAUAGAUUUGUUUAACCUAAGGAAGAAAAGAUUCUGGACACGUGAGGGCCGAUUUUCAUUCCUCAGAGCUCUCUCCUUUGGAGGCUUCUUUGUUUGGGCCCCACUUCCAUUCUUCACAUUCAGCAGUUACUGGGAGACGACCUUACCAUGGCCUGUCCCUCCGUGUUCAUCCCAAUCGCAUCCAGAUGCCUCUCUGGCCUCAUCUCCUAGUGUUCCUGUGUCCGGAAUUGGUGGGUUCUUGGUCUCGCUAACUUCAACAAUGAAGCCUCGGACCCUGGCGGUGAGUGUUACAGUUCUUAAAGGCAGCGUGUCCGGAGUUUGUUCCUUCUGAUGUUUGGAUGUGUUCGGAGUUUCUUCCUUCUGGUGGGUUCAUGGUCUCCUUGGCUCAGGAGUGAAGCUGCAGACCUUCGCGAAGAGGCAGAGGAUGUUGACACAAACUUACAGACUGGGACUCCAAGGAUCAGCCAGAUGAAAUGCUAUGUGCAGAGUCUUCAUUUCCCAGCUCAGUGGUGGACAGCAGAGGACUCUAAGAUCCAGCCACCUCUUGGGAUGCACACGUUUCUCUUCAACUGCGUGAUGUGAACUGCGUCACAUGGUCAAAUUAUAAUGAAGAAAGGAACCUCUCUUGAGUACAAAGAGCUACCUAUGGUGGUCUGGAGCCGGAGGACCACAGCAUCAAAGGAUAUAAGAUGCAUAGCCAACUGAGGAACCUGAGCAAUUAAAGAGAUCCACAGUUAAGUCACACUUAACUGGCACUUGUGGAAGCCCCGCAAGGCCUGAAGGAGAGCUGACAUAGGCACCCCAGAGAGCCAGAAUCUGGAUCCCAUCUUAAUAAGGCCAUGAACACCAGUGGAGAAGAGGCAGAAACACCAAUGGAUAAGGAACAUUCACAUCUUUCUUCCCAUGUGCCUCUAAGUGCCAGUGCAGGCCCCACAGGCCAAGCUACAGGGAGAAAGGAGAUGACGCAAAGGAACCUAACUGGACUUUAAUCACUAGAAGUGAGAAGAGAAAUCUAUUGGAACCUCCCAAGAUAAUGCCAAGGGUCAAAGGGUGCGCAGAUACAUAAGAUCACCAUCUACCCCUAUAACCACCAGCCCCAACCCAGGCUCACUGAAUUGGAAUUUCUGAAGACACAGUCAGCCCAAUGAAGGAGGAGGAGGAAAAGGAGGAGAAGAAGAAAAGAAAAAGAAAGAAA